UUAAAUGCAACAUAUCCGCUGUAUAGCGAAAAAUUGUGAGGUCCUAUGCAUGGGAUAUAUGUAAUUAUGAUAAGAGGCACCCGGAAAGAAUACCCAAGCAUUUAUGGAUCAUGAAAUACUGACUGUAUACAGCAAAAUUCAGUUCCCUCAGAUGGGUCACAGUCAUCAAGGAAGGCAGACUUCUUUGGGAUUAUGGAGACGAGUUGAUCAAUGAUGGAGCACACGAGGAAACAGGAAGAAUCUUCACCAGUGUGUCAUAACAGAAUGUCCGAAUGAAUUGUCAACAGGCUUCAUAACUACAACAAAAACAGAGAAAACCUACAGAACAGACAAGUAAUUGUCUACAACUCCACAUAACAGCAGGAGAAAAACAAGGCCCACUUGUCAUGAAGAAAACAGUACGAAAAAACACACGUCAGUGAUGUGUGUAUUAUUUUUACCAACGUGAAACAUUAUUGAAAAUUUAUUAGAUUUUUUGACAUCAAAACAAUUCCACUGUUUGUAGAAAAAAAGGGGCAAUAUAAAUGACAAAUGAAUUGUCUCAGUCACUAUUGGUAUUUUUUGCGUAAAUAGUCCAUAAUUGUAUAUCAACACUGAUGAGGCUGAGACACAAUUUUGGAUUAAAGGGUGUAGCAUCAAAGUUUGGUGUGUCAGUGAUUGACUGUGUGCAUGUGUUGACCUUAUGCAUGUUAUGUUAGGUUUAAAGAUGAGUGAUUGACUUUCAUUCACUUCACUGAUUUCAGGAGAAGCAGACUUUUCACUUAUCUAAUGAACUCCAAUAGCAUAAUACAUGUUUGUUUAUGUAAUCUUAUGGUAUCCACAAUGUGCUGAAUUGCAUAAUUAAGUGUAUAGUUCAUAAAGGCGAUAAAUAACACAGAUAACAUUAUGAAAUGUGAAGCACUGUCAUAGAUGAAAUUCCCAAAAAUAUAUCUCAUACUGAUAUAAGUAAAUGAUUUAUACAGUGGUGUGAUGAUAGAAUGAGAAACGACUGAUACGAAUUAAAUAUUCAAACAUCUAACCCUAUAAAUGUAUAUCACUGCCAAGGGAAAUUUGAUAGAAGAAAAAUAAUACUUUUUCAAUUUAACAUAAACAAUUUUAUUAUUACUUUUAUAUGAAAUGUUCAAUAUCAUUAAACUUUUCUGUA